rnacentral:lncRNA from 1 species
CUCAAGAAACAACAUAAUUAUUACACUUAAAUCUAUCUUAACACAAUGAAGAACACAAAUAAUAUAACAAACAAGAUGACAUCUAGCCCACUACUAUUAACAUCGACGUCGUUAACAUAGCGAUUGAAACAUCAAAAGCAAAUAUAUUACAAUGACUUGUUCGGUUUACCAACGGCACAUAUUACACAUGAACUACAAAUAACACAACACAUUUUGUUGGCCCCUUCCCUUCCAUAAGAAAAUAUAACCAUUACUCAUGCUGGCCCCUUCCCUUUCACAUUAACUCCCGCACUUUCGUUGGCCUUCCUUAUAGUCACGUUCAAAGAAAUCUCAAUGUCUCGUUCCACGGACACCACGUGACAAAGAGAUCGGAACACGCUAGAGAACUCCUGAACUUGGUCGAUUGCUGCAUGAUUAUUCUGGCUCCUAACGGUAACAUCACUUGAUCCACAGCUUGAUUCUCCGUCAUCAACCUAUGCCCAAUAUUUACAGUUAGCCCUACAGGAGUUGAAAAGUCUUCCCUUGUUCUUCGUCCCCCUCUCAAUCUCAAAGCACUUCACAAAUCCACUUUUACACAAGGGGCAUCGCCUUUUCUUCGGGAUUCCGCAAACAAGUGGUCAUUCUCUCUACAGCUAUGACAAAGACCGGAGUUCUUUCCCGGCAUACUACACAACAAACGACACACAGAUUACACUAAAUUAAACAACAUUUUUAACAAAAUCCCCUUGCUCAGUGGAAUCAAGAUAUUCACAAAAACCGAAUUUCAAACCAAACAUGAAUGUCAAGAACCAUAUCAAUAAUAACAGUAACAAACUUACACAUUCAACCCACUCUUUACAUGCCACCAGAAGAAAACAAAAGGGCUUCAACAUUAUACACUCUGUCUGAGAUUAUGCCUAUCAAAUU